rnacentral:rRNA from 1 species
UGCCAGCAGCCGCGGUAAUACUGAAGGUGCAAGCGUUAAUCGGAAUCACUGGGCGUAAAGCGCUCGUAGGUGGCUUUGUAAGUCAGAUGUGAAAGCCCACGGCUCAACCGUGGAGUUGCAUUUGAUACUGCAUCGCUAGAGUAUAGGAGAGGGAAGUGGAAUUCCCAGUGUAGCGGUGAAAUGCGUAGAUAUUGGGAAGAACACCAGUAGCGAAGGCGGCUACCUGGCUCAUUACUGACGCUAAUGCGCGAAAGCGCGGGGAGCAAACAGGAUUAGAUA